rnacentral:lncRNA from 1 species
CAGCCACAGCAAUGGCGGGAUCUGAGCAGUGUCUGUGACUUAUGCCCCAGCUCACAGAAGAACCAGAACAUUAACCCACUGAUCAAGGCCAGGGAUCGAACUUGCAACCUCAUGAUACUAGUCAGGUUCGUUAACCACUGAGCCACAACAAGAACUCCAAAACUCUAUCUUUCAAUGGAAGAAUAGCAUAUAUUUUCAAAAAAGGAGGUAGUUAAUCAUGGUCAUGAGAGAAGCUAACAAAAGUUGCUGGAAUCACAAAACCUUAAAUUUAUUACAUAAUCAUACAACAAACACAUAACUUAUGGCUUAGAUGAUGCAAGCAUGGAUUUUAUAAUAGUUAAUUUGCAACAACUUUAUCUGAGUAAUUUGAAUACUCUGAAUUAACCGAAUCAUAUAGAUAUGUGGUUUGCUUGAUAUAUAAUAAAAAGAAGUGGGAAAUAAUUCCUAGUAAAAUUUUGGACAGUCAUAUUACAAAAGAUAUCCUUUAGAAACUGCUUGCCCUUGGAAAUUUUAACCCUUUUUAUCUCUUGAAAUCAAGAGAAGACUCCACUAAGAAUAGAUCCAGCCUCUCUAAAAUGUGAACUAGUAUACAGUUCUGGAAAGAGCCUGGCUUCAAGACUAAAAGGUCAAUUCACUUAAGAAAUCUGGAUCUCAAGUGUAUUGGGUUAAGGAUCAAGUAAAGAAGCAACUUCUUUUACAAAUGCAAAGAAUUAAUGACCACCGAUUUUUUAUUUGCCAAGUCUGAUCUUCUCUUGGGAAGAGAACAGGACCUUGAACAAUUGCUAAUCGGUCUAUGCCCUCAAGGCAAGGUUGGCCUUUCAGUGGUUUGGAGUUUCACAUACUAAGUUUCCCUGAGUACUUUAAAAAUGAAUCAAUUUUCUAAAACUAAGCAUUUUCUCAAAAAUGUGGAAGUCCUUCACUUAAUACUUAUAAAAUGUGGUAUCAAGGGAUAAGGCUAUACAUUUUUAGACUUUUCCUGUUACAGUGAGGGAAAAGAAAUUGCUCUGCUAUUAUUUCUAUCUGAACGUCAGGGGCUUAUAUGGCAGUAAAUGACCUGGUUUAUUUGUAGAGGUUUGAAGUGGAUAUCUCCAAUAAAAAAACCUAUAAAAUUCACUCUGCAAGCAAUUUGGAGAUGAGUAUAAGUAAGGAAACAAUGACCUGAAACCUGUAAGACUGUGAUAUUACUAAUGAAAAUAAUAACUUGAGAUCUUGGAAGUCAUCUACUGUUUUACAUUUCAAUUUAGUACUGACAGUGUUGUCUCUUUUUAGGUUUGGUCCAUCCCUCAAAAGUUUAUUGUUUUAUUUUGAUUGUUCUGGAUUGCUACCCAAUUACUUGAUGUUUACCUUUCCCAGACUUCGUAAGUAUCAUUAUUAUUAUCAUCAUCACCAUCCAAUGAAAUCAGACCAUAAAUAUUUUAACUAUUGGCAGCAGCAGUUAAAAUUUAACUGUUUUAACUACUACCAUUUAUGGAAGAUAUGCUGUGAAGCCUGUUUUAUAGUAACUAACUUGUACACAUAUUUUACAUUUAUAAAAACUUUGUAAGGUAUUAUUAUACAGAAAAAAGAAAAAAACCCCAAAAGUUAUUAACUCAAGCAUUUAUUAAGAAUGGCGCAAUAUGGGAAACAGCUUAAAAUUAGUGUUCUGCAGAGAGCAAGUCGCUGAAAUAGUUUACAGAGCUGAUUGGAAAGAGUCACUCAAAGAUUAGCUUUGUUCUAAGAAUGUUCACUAUUCAGAAUCUUGGAAAGUGGAGGAAAAAUUAGUUAUGUUAAUCAUGUAGGAAUAGGAAGACUGGACCUUAGUUUAACAUCCAUUGGCUACUUACUUUACAUUUAGGAAUGAAAGAUAAGGAGGAAUAUUUGUAAGCUAAGGUUCAUGGGGUCUUAAGGUUCAUGGCUAAGAUUUGGUUUUUGGAUUUUCUGUGUUGAAACUAACAUAACAUUGUAAAUCAACCAUACAUUUCUAAAAAAUAAAAAAAAAAUACAUUUACAAAUGUUCAGAAAAUGUUCAAAUAAUACUUAUGAAUUGGUUCUUACUUCUGUCUCAUCUAUACAAUUUUGUCAGGGUUAUAAGUUUGGCUAAUGGGACACUGGCUAGCAAUAUUCUCAAAAUUUUUAAAUGAAAUUGAUCUAUCAAUGAUUGAAGAUUUUAGACAUUUAGCCUCUAUUAUUUUGUUAGACAAUUUAGAAACAUAGAAAAGUAUGGACUCCUCUGUUGAGGGAUAACACACAAUUAACUCAUAAUGAUUUAGUCAAUGAUUACCCAGGAAGUAAUUAUGUAUAAUAAACAGGGAGAACACUGACCAAUCUCCAGGCCUUUUGACGUAAUAAUAAAGCAUAUUUUAAAAAUUGUCAUUGAUUGUCCUUGUCUGAGAUUUUUUAACAUUUGGGAAUAAAAAUUAACUUAUAGACAGUUUAGUACUAGUUUGUGUACUUGAACUUGAGUGUGCUUCUUUUAACCUGAGAAGCAUACAAUUAUUGAAACAUAUUUAUGUUAAUAUAUUUAACUUUCACAUAAAAAAACUAUAAGGACUACAUUUCUCUCAGUCUGUUGUGUUUAUUUUUCUUUCAGCUUAGUAAAAUUAGAAUACAUACAAUAAUUGAGGAGUUACUUAAAAUUUGGGGGAUAACAAACUUAAUCAUUUUUAUUAUCUUUCCUUUUAAAAGGUAAAGAAGAAAAUUUUCUUGUUAACAUGGUGACUAUGCCACCAAACCCUAAGAGAGUUUUAUACAUAAAGGGCAUCUUAACAGUUAUACUUGUAGGAGAGUAAAAAUAAUUUUCUCUCUACCCUCUAUGGAUCGUUAGCUGAGACUCCAGUAAUAAAAGACAGAUAAAAGAAUAAUAACAAGUUUAUUAACAUGUAUACCAUAUAUACACAGGAGAUACUUGGGGAAAAAUUAACUCAAAGAGGUAGUUUUAGAAUUCAGAAUUACAUAUUGUCCUAAUAGGGAAAGGGCAGCUUAUAGGUCUCUUAGGGGAAAGAGGAAAGAUGAAUGUGCCUUUAGAGAAAUAAAUGGAAGGUAGUUUGUAACAAAGUUUGUCUGGGUUUGGUGUUGACUCUAGUCUCCUCUCCUCCGAAAACAAUCUCCAUGGUUGACAAAAUUCCUGAGGAGAAGGUUUAUGACAACUGACUUUCUUUUGGAGAACCUGUCAUUUGAAAGGUAAGGGGAGUUUUGAGAAAGCCUCUCCCUAUAUUCACUGUUUCCAAGUACCUACAACUGAAUAUAAUAUGUUAAAUCAGUGUAUUGUAGGGCAGCUUGUCCUGAACACCUACGGUCAUAAUUUUGGGUGACAUAAUUCUACUAAACUUCAUAUUCUUUUGAAUUUGGGAUUGAAUGUAGGAAAGUAAUAUUCAUGAAAACUUGACAAUAAGAAAUAGAUAUUGGAAAGUCAUAGCAUUGGGAACAAUGACUCUUAGGAACUUGGCUUUAAAAAAUAAUAAAUUUAUGUUUUGUUGGAAGAUAAUAACUUGGUUGUUUUAAGGUAAAAAACCCCAUAAAAUCUAGUCUUUUAUAUAUUAUCCAAUUAUAUCUUAUAAGUAAAUAUAUUAUAAACUUUUUUCUUAUGGAUAGAUUAAUUUUUCAAAGGACUAAAAAAUUUAACAUAUUUGUGAUUUUUAUAUUAAAGUAUAUUAUUAAUCAUACCUUCAUAAAUCAUAUUUUAGCUUUAUCAUGUAGAUAAUCUAAACAUUAAACCAAUGCAUAUUUAUAUAAAAAUUUCCAUGUCAAUUGACUGGAAUGUUUUCUUUAAGGAAUAUACAAACUGUAUCUAUUAUCUUUUAUUUUAUUAUAUCCCUCUGUAAUUACCACACUAAAUAUAUUAUCAAAUACUUUGUAUUAAUUCCUUUAACAAAAGUUAUCAAUUCUUAUUUCUUCCAGAGACACAGAAAAAUCACAUGAUAGAAAAUCACAAAGUCCCCAAUUUUUAUUGCUGUGAGCAUAUAUUUUAUAUCAACUUUAUAAAUUUUAAGGUGGCAAAAAAGAUAAAUACACGUUUUAUACAUUAUCAAAAGACAUUUGUAGAUUCUAAAAUUUACAAAAAUAGAGCAAAUAAAAUUUAGGCACUAAGGUUUAUAAUGCUUUAUUUCAAAAAUGUUCAGAUAAUCAAUUUAAUAUUAUCUAGUGCCUUAAAUUUAAUCAAAAUGUGGAAAUUAUAAUUAAAAAUACAUAAAAUUCUUAAUAUCUGUAAUAUUCUAAGAAUUUACUUAUAAGAUUAACCUCUUUUAAAGACAUCAGUUUUUAAAAGUUUAUAUAAACAAUUUUAUAUAUUCAAAAUCUUAAACUUUUGUUAAAAUGAUACAUCAUUUGACUUUCAGAAUUCAAUAAUGAAUUUAUUAAAAUUAGAUAAGUUUAAUCUUAGUAUUGUAUACAUUAUAAUACUAAUAUGAAAAAACUAAAAAUUAUAAAUUUACUAAAAAAUACACUAAAUCUACAUAAAUAUUAUAAAAAUAUUAAAAACAUUAGAAUACAAAAAAUAAACUCAAAGAGGCUUAGGGAUGUAAACAUAAGACAUGACGCAAUCAAACUCCUAGAAGGGAACAUAGGCAAAACAUUCACCAACAUUAACCUUACAGAUGUUUUCUCAGGUCAGUCUCCCAAGGCAACAGAAAUAAAAGCAAAAAUAAACCAAUGGGACCUAACCAAACUGACAAGUGUUGCACAGCAAAGGAAACUAUAAAAACAACAAAAAGAUAACUUACAGAAUGGGAGAAAAUAGUUUCAAAUGAUUCAACUGAAAAGGGCUUAAUUUCUAAAAUAUACAAACAACUUAUACAACUCAGCAGCAAAAAAACAAACAAACCGAAUGAAAAAUGGGCAAAAGAACUGAAUAGACAUUUCUCCAAAGAUGAUAUACAGAUGGCCAACAAGCACAUGAAAAAAUGCUCAACAUCACUUAUUAUUAGAGAAAUGCGAGUAAAACUACCAUGAGGUACCACCUCACACCAGUUAGAAUGGCCAUCAUUAGUAAGUCCACAAAUAACAAAUGCUGGAGAGGGUGUGAAGAAAAGGGCACCCUCCUACACUGU